GACGAACGCUGGCGGCGUGCUUAACACAUGCAAGUCGAACGGAAAGGCCCUGCUUUUGUGGGGUGCUCGAGUGGCGAACGGGUGAGUAACACGUGAGUAAACUGCACUUGACUUAGGGAUAACUUCAGGAAACUGGGGAUAAUACCGGAUAGGAGCUCCUGCAGCAUGGUGGGGGUUGGAAAGUUUCGGCGGUUGGGGAUGGACUCGCGGCUUAUCAGCUUGUUGGUGGGGUAGUGGCUUACCAAGGCUUUGACGGGUAGCCGGCCUGAGAGGGUGACCGGCCACAUUGGGACUGAGAUACGGCCCAGACUCCUACGGGAGGCAGCAGUGGGGAAUAUUGCACAGUGGGCGGAAGCCUGAUGCAGCAACGCCGCGUGCGGGAUGACGGCCUUCGGGUUGUAAACCGCUUUCGCCUGUGACGAAGCGUGAGUGACGGUAAUGGGUAAAGAAGCACCGGCUAACUACGUG
rnacentral:rRNA from 1 species